GACCAGACUCCUACGGGAGGCAGCAGUGAGGAAUAUUGGUCAAUGGGCGGGAGCCUGAACCAGCCAAGUCGCGUGAAGGAAGAAGGUACUUAGUAUUGUAAACUUCUUUUGUCGGGGAACAAAGGCGGAGACGCGUCUCCGGAUGAGUGUACCCGAAGAAAAAGCAUCGGCUAACUCCGUGCCAGCAGCCGCGGUAAUACGGAGGAUGCGAGCGUUAUCCGGAUUUACUGGGUGUAAAGGGAGCGCAGGCGGCACGGCAAGCCUGAUGUGAAAGCCCGCGGCCCAACCGCGGGACUGCAUUGGGAACUACCGGGCUGGAGUGCCGGAGAGGUAGGCGGAAUUCCUAGUGUAGCGGUGAAAUGCGUAGAUAUUAGGAGGAACACCAGUGGCGAAGGCGGCCUACUGGACGGUGACUGACGCUGAGGCUCGAAAGCGUGGGGAGCAAACAGGAUUAGAUACCCUAGUAA
rnacentral:rRNA from 1 species